AAAUAAUCGAGCAACAGAAGCGAAGUGUUUCAGCCAGAGUCUCACCCUCUGUCUCCCUGAUCCCAGCUUCUGCCUUCAGCCCGAAUCCAGAAUCCACAGAACGCCUGGAGGCAUCAGAGCUGCUGCCUGAGCGGGAGCUCCGGUCACACAGUGGUGGCGGUGAGGGUGAGAGGAGGUUUGCUGGCUCUGAUGCAUCUUCUUACAGUUUUGGAAGAUAAACUAGGGAUGGCAAAACACAGCGCCCCAAUCUUCAUCUCUGACCACACCUUCAGAAUAACUACGGGAAACGCCACGAGGACUCGACGACGAAGAGAUGUCUCUGCAGUGCAGCCACAGGACCCCAGGGCACGCUUCAGGCCGUGGUUUACCCAAAACACCAGAACAGGAAAGUGAUAAACACGCCAACAUACACAAACAUACACAUCUA